rnacentral:rRNA from 1 species
UUCGCAAUGCCCGAAAGGGUGACGAAGCGACGCCGCGUGCGGGAAGAAGGCCUUCGGGUUGUAAACCGCUGUCGGGAGUUAGGAAAUGCAAGGAUGUUAAUAGCGUCUUUGCUUGACUAAGGCUCCGGAGGAAGCCACGGCUAACUCUGUGCCAGCAGCCGCGGUAAUACAGAGGCGGCAAGCGUUGUUCGGAAUUAUUGGGCGUAAAGAGCACGUAGGCGGCCGUGUAAGUCGGUUGUGAAAGCCUUCCGCUCAACGGGAGAACGGCAGCUGAUACUACGGGGCUAGAGUACGGGAGGGGAGAGUGGAACUUCUGGUGGAGCGGUGAAAUGCGUAGAUAUCAGAAGGAACACCGGCGGCGAAGGCGACUCUCUGGCCCGUAACUGACGCUGAGUGUGCGAAAGCUAGGGGAGCAAACGGGAUUAGAUACCCCGGUAGUCCUAGCCGUAAACGAUGGGCACUAAGUAGAGGGGUUUU